CCCUUAGAUGUUCUGGGCUGCACGCGCGCUACACUGAAGCUAUCAACACGUUUUCCCUCCCUGAGAAGGGCGGGUAACCUUUUGAAUCAGCUUCGUGGUAGGGAUCGGGGCUUACAAUUGUUCCCCGUGAACCAGGAAUUCCUAGUAGACGCGAGUCAUAAGCUCGCAUCGAUUAAGUCCCUGCCCUUUGUACACACCGCCCGUCGCUACUACCGAUUGAACGUUUUAGUGAGGCAUUUGGACCGACGCAUCUCAGUUUAACCGCUGGUUUGUGUUGGAAAGACUUCCAAACUUGAGCGUUUAGAGGAAGUAAAAGUCGUAACA
rnacentral:rRNA from 1 species